rnacentral:rRNA from 1 species
UACGUAGGAGGCAAGCGUUGUCCGGAAUUACUGGGCGUAAAGCGCGUGUAGGUGGUGGGACAAGUCUGCUGUGAAAGCGCCUGGCUUAACCGGGCGAGGUCGGCGGAAACUGUCCGACUAGAGGACGGUAGAGGGGGGUGGAAUUCCCGGUGUAGUGGUGAAAUGCGUAGAGAUCGGGAGGAACACCUGUGGCGAAGGCGGCCCCCCUGGGCCGGCCCUGACACUGAGACGCGAAGGCGUGGGGAGCGAACGGG